AGGGGAAAUAUCUGCAUCCCUACAUCUUUUGAUUUCUAUUUUAUUGUGAUAAGAAUACUUAACAUGAGACCUACCCUCGUAACAGAUUUUUAAGUGUACAAUACCGUAUUUUUAACUAUAGACACAAUGUUGUACAGCAUAUCUCUGUUAAUUUAGCACUACUGAAACCUUAUACCUGUUAACUAGCACCUCCCCAUUUUACUAAUCUCUCUUUAUCUACUAGGCUGGAUAAGCACUAUGAAAACUUCUGAUUGAUGAUGGAAUUGUCUCUGCAAUAGUCAGAUAAUGACCUGAAUUUCUGAGAUUCCCAAAAGAUUUUUCUGGGAACAACAUCGCAGGAAUUAUUCUAGAAGAAAUUAAAGAGCCAUAGUAAUUCUAACUCAAUGGAUGAAAAAUCUAAGACAUUAGAAGCUGAAUGACUUGGAAGGUUAUGUCUACAAACACCUACUAUGCAUACACAUUGGAGGUCGUUUAAGAGUCAAGAAUAACACAAAUUGGCUGUAAAGUAGUACAGUCAGGAGAUCAAGACCAUCCUGGUUACCACAGUGAAACCCCGUCUCUACUGAAAAUACAAAAAAUUUACCGGGUGUGGUGGCAUGCGCCUGUAAUUCCAGUUGCUCAGGAGGCUGAGGCAGGAGAAUCACUUGAACCUGGGAGGCAGAAGUUGUAGUGAGCCAAGAUCACGCCAUUGCACUCCAGCCUGGGUGGCAGAGUGAGACAUCAUCUCAAAAACAAAAAACAAUAAAGUAGUACAGUCCAGAUGAGGAGUUGACAAACCAUACCUUGCAGGCCAAAUACUGCCCAUCACGUGUUUUGGGAUGGUCCAUGACUGUGAGGUAAGAACAGUUUUUACACUUUUUCUU
rnacentral:lncRNA from 1 species